rnacentral:misc_RNA from 1 species
UCCCAUGCUUGAGAUACAAAUUCAUUGCUGAAGGUCUCUACAUAAACAGCGAGCCCAGCUGAGCUUAGCCUUGGCACAACAUUUGUAACACCAGUGAGGAAUAGUGCAUUAUCGGGGUAGACAGAACUCUUGCUGAUGACCACAGAAUCAGCAAAUGUCUUGAUGUCUUUAAUGGUUGCAUCAAGAGCAUCUCGAAUAUUCUCAUCGACCUUGUAAACACGCUUGAAAUUACUUUUUUCCUUAAACUUCAUCAGAACAGAACUAUUUGUGGACUGAAUCAUAACUUCUGUUGCAAUCUGCCCAGCUUUGCUCAAAGCUUCAAGCACCGCAUCAGUUACAGGUAAUUUCUGCUUCUCUAUCAGAUAGAAAGCAUUCUCAAUGCUUAUCAAGACACCAGAAAGAGAGCUAGUGUUCUUUGCCAGGGCCAAGAAAUCAGACAAGCUUAAGAACUUCCCAUCAUUUCUGAACUUUGGAUUCCGCGACAACUCAUAUUUUGCAUAUGGGCUUGCUAUUGCCGGAGUCAAGGUCUGAAUCUGAUUCCAUGUCAAGCUAAAGGUAUAUAUUCCACUGCCUCCACUGAGCUCUGGAAUUAUUUCUGAAAGGUUGCUGUAAGGGGACUGAGCAACUGUUGUACUGUCAAUAAGAUUUAUGGAGCCUAAGCAAAAUGGUAUGCCAUCCUUCGACAUUUGGACAGGACAAUCAAUAACAUCUGCACCAUCUAAAAUAGCAUUCUGGUAUGCCUUGUCAGUACAACCGGGGUAAUCUCCACUUGCACCAUUUUUUGAGAUGACCAAAACAUUAG